AUGCUGGAGGUAUCAGAAGUGCGAAUGCUGACAUAAGUAACGAUAAAGCGGGUGAAAAGCCCGCUCGCCGGAAGACCAAGGGUUCCUGUCCAACGUUAAUCGGGGCAGGGUGAGUCGACCCCUAAGGCGAGGCCGAAAGGCGUAGUCGAUGGGAAACAGGUUAAUAUUCCUGUACUUGGUGUUACUGCGAAGGGGGGACGGAGAAGGCUAUGUUGGCCGGGCGACGGUUGUCCCGGUUUAAGCGUGUAGGCUGGUUUUCCAGGCAAAUCCGGAAAAUCAAGGCUGAGGCGUGAUGACGAGGCACUACGGUGCUGAAGCAACAAAUGCCCUGCUUCCAGGAAAAGCCUCUAAGCAUCAGGUAACAUCAAAUCGUACCCCAAACCGACACAGGUGGUCAGGUAGAGAAUACCAAGGCGCUUGAGAGAACUCGGGUGAAGGAACUAGGCAAAAUGGUGCCGUAACUUCGGGAGAAGGCACGCUGAUAUGUAGGUGAAGCGACUUGCUCGUGGAGCUGAAAUCAGUCGAAGAUACCAGCUGGCUGCAACUGUUUAUUAAAAACACAGCACUGUGCAAACACGAAAGUGGACGUAUACGGUGUGACGCCUGCCCGGUGCCGGAAGGUUAAUUGAUGGGGUUAGCCGCAAGGCGAAGCUCUUGAUCGAAGCCCCGGUAAACGGCGGCCGUAACUAUAACGGUCCUAAGGUAGCGAAAUUCCUUGUCGGGUAAGUUCCGACCUGCACGAAUGGCGUAAUGAUGGCCAGGCUGUCUCCACCCGAGACUCAGUGAAAUUGAACUCGCUGUGAAGAUGCAGUGUACCCGCGGCAAGACGGAAAGACCCCGUGAACCUUUACUAUAGCUUGACACUGAACAUUGAGCCUUGAUGUGUAGGAUAGGUGGGAGGCUUUGAAGUGUGGACGCCAGUCUGCAUGGAGCCGACCUUGAAAUACCACCCUUUAAUGUUUGAUGUUCUAACGUUGACCCGUAAUCCGGGUUGCGGACAGUGUCUGGUGGGUAGUUUGACUGGGGCGGUCUCCUCCUAAAGAGUAACGGAGGAGCACGAAGGUUGGCUAAUCCUGGUCGGACAUCAGGAGGUUAGUGCAAUGGCAUAAGCCAGCUUGACUGCGAGCGUGACGGCGCGAGCAGGUGCGAAAGCAGGUCAUAGUGAUCCGGUGGUUCUGAAUGGAAGGGCCAUCGCUCAACGGAUAAAAGGUACUCCGGGGAUAACAGGCUGAUACCGCCCAAGAGUUCAUAUCGACGGCGGUGUUUGGCACCUCGAUGUCGGCUCAUCACAUCCUGGGGCUGAAGUAGGUCCCAAGGGUAUGGCUGUUCGCCAUUUAAAGUGGUACGCGAGCUGGGUUUAGAACGUCGUGAGACAGUUCGGUCCCUAUCUGCCGUGGGCGCUGGAGAACUGAGGGGGGCUGCUCCUAGUACGAGAGGACCGGAGUGGACGCAUCACUGGUGUUCGGGUUGUCAUGCCAAUGGCACUGCCCGGUAGCUAAAUGCGGAAGAGAUAAGUGCUGAAAGCAUCUAAGCACGAAACUUGCCCCGAGAUGAGUUCUCCCUGACUCCUUGAGAGUCCUGAAGGAACGUUGAAGACGACGACGUUGAUAGGCCGGGUGUGUAAGCGCAGCGAUGCGUUGAGCUAACCGGUACUAAUGAACCGUGAGGCUUAACCUU
rnacentral:rRNA from 1 species